GGUAUUUCUUUCUUUCAAUCAACCCGAAUGGGUCCUACGGUUACGAAUUUGUAUAAUUUUCAAAGAAAAGCUUUCCCUCUUUUCUUGUCACCCCAACCAAACAAUCACUUGAUUCUUUUUUUAGGUUCCUGCUCCUUACCCAAAUCAAGAUCACUGUCAAAAUCUACAGGGUCUUCUCGUCUGAUAGAAACAACUUUGCUUUUUGACAAAAAAAUUAAAUUCAACCCUCCGCCGGAGACAGUCGAAACCUCAUGAGAUCCUUCAUUCCAGUUAUCAAUUAAAAAACUAUUGAUUAUGCUACCUUCGCACGGUCAAGGUACCGCGGCUCUUUAACUAAUAGUCAGGGAGCAGAACUUACCUUUUACGCAACCCAAAAGGCA
rnacentral:rRNA from 1 species